GGGAAGGUGGCUCAGUGUUAGAGCGCUUGCCUUGCAUGCAUGAGGCCCUUGCAUGCAUGAGUUCCAUUCCU
rfam:Dipodomys ordii contig_32552, whole genome shotgun sequence.